rnacentral:rRNA from 1 species
UACGUAGGGCGCAAGCGUUGUCCGGAAUUAUUGGGCGUAAAGAGCUCGUAGGCGGUCUGUCGCGUCGGAUGUGAAAGCCCGGGCUUAACCCCGGGUCUGCAUUCGAUACGGGCAGACUAGAGUGUGGUAGGGGAGAGUCGGAAUUCCUGGUGUAGCGGUGAAAUGCGCAGAUAUCAGGAGGAAUACCGAUGGCGAAGGCAGGUCUCUGGGCUGACACUGACGCUCAUGCACGAAAGCGUGGGGAGCAAACAGG